rnacentral:sRNA from 1 species
AUCCUCUGCAGAAACUCAUUUACAUCUUCAACUCUGUGUUAGAAAGAACCCCCUACUCUUCAAACUACCAACUUUCAUCCUCUGCAGAAACUCGUUUUCUUAUAUAAGCUCAGUGCAACACAAUCUGCUUUAAGAAUUAUUUCACCAAACUCUACAACAUCUUCUUUCUCCAAAGAACCCUCUAAAAAGACUCAGAUGCAUUAAGUCAGAACUGUCAAAUUCAUACAAGACAGCUUCAUGAAACCCUGUGAAAUACAGAGCACGUGCAGCACUUAACAAAGGAUCAAGUUGAUGAUCCUAGUGGGGAUUCUACAGGUGAUCAUGAUGAGCAGCAAUGAGGCUAUAGCUCUAUGAGAUGAUAUAGGGGAUUCUUUAUAUGUACCUAUUCUAGUAUCCCUUUAUCUUUCUAUAAAUAUAUUGUUUAUAUCUUUUGAUAAAUAAAUUGGAUCACAGUCUUGAACUUUAUAAAUAAA